ACGAACGCUGGCGGCGUGCCUAAUACAUGCAAGUAGCACGCUGAAGAGAGGAGCUUACUCUUCUUGGAUGAGUUGCGAACGGGUGAGUAACGCGUAGGUAACCUGCCUUGUAGCGGGGGAUAACUAUUGGAAACGAUAGCUAAUACCGCAUAACAAUGGAUGACACAUGUCAUUUAUUUGAAAGGGGCAAUUGCUCCACUACAAGAUGGACCUGCGUUGUAUUAGCUAGUAGGUGAGGUAAUGGCUCACCUAGGCGACGAUACAUAGCCGACCUGAGAGGGUGAUCGGCCACACUGGGACUGAGACACGGCCCAGACUCCUACGGGAGGCAGCAGUAGGGAAUCUUCGGCAAUGGGGGCAACCCUGACCGAGCAACGCCGCGUGAGUGAAGAAGGUUUUCGGAUCGUAAAGCUCUGUUGUAAGUCAAGAACGGGUGUGAGAGUGGAAAGUUCACACUGUGACGGUAGCUUACCAGAAAGGGACGGCUAACUACGUG
rnacentral:rRNA from 1 species